rnacentral:lncRNA from 1 species
UUCUCGGGAUCGGCGCGAAACAACUGUACGGAUCUCUCAACAAAAUCAUCCCAGGAAGUGAUAUACACCAUUCUUCUUCUCUCUGUAUCUGCUAUAUAUAAAUAUAUGUAUAUAUAACUGCUAAUCGAGCGUUCUCUCGGUGACUGUUGACGCCGGAGCUAAAUUCAGUGGCCGGCCGGCGAGGUUUUCAAUUUUUGCUCCUUAGGGGGUUUGAAAAGUCUUUUAUUGGUAUGUUUUGAGUCGCUUGAGCAAAAGGGGAAUAUUAAUGGGCCUGCAAAUAACGGGUCCCGACCCGGAUUGGCCCAUGUAAUUGUCACCUGAGCACGAGGUAUAAGUUUAUAUUUUUGCAUCAUAAUAUUAUCAAAGUUAUAACGAGUUAUACAUAAGUUCGAUUGCUAAUGAUAAUAACUAAAGAUCAAACUAUUCGAACGAUAAAUCAUAUUAGUAAAAUCUCGUGAUGAUGAAUAAUUAGAUUGCAAUAUGUAUAAAAUUAUAAUCUUUUUUGUUAAUAAAUCGUCGAUAAAAAUUUAUGUAUUCAACAACCCCUUAAUUGAGAAAGGAUACAUCAGUACAAACAAUUAUUUUAUUUUAUUUUUUGGUCAUAACGGAAGUACAAAUAAUAAUUUGCAAGUUACAUAAGUUGCCAUACUUAAAAAUAAAAGUUUUAUAAAUUUAAUCCCACAAUAAUAAAACCAUAUAGUACUGUACAAAAAUUACAGACCGCUAGUCUCUCUUCAUAAUUUCUCCAUAGGUCUUGUAUCUUUAGGAACCUAUGGUAUUGUUUUUUUCGAUGAUCGAGAAAUCUAUCUGGAACCAACCCUUUGGGAAAAACGCAACCUUCAGAACUCGGGAAUGAUGGAUAACUCCAUAGCGCGAAAUUAACAAGGACUAACUUGUAGAUACAAAGCAACUUCAUCCAAUUAUGUUGCAAAAGAAUUCACUAUUGACACAAUUUACUAACCAUUGAAUACACGAGGUGACAUAUCGAUAGCUCAGCUGCAUUUCUGCUGGGGAAAAAAAGGAACUUGUGUGAUUUAUGUGCCAAGUAAACGAGGAUUCGAACCAAUAAGUAGUGAUGAUACUUACAAGAGCUCCAGUUGCCACUUUCAAGCAGAUGCAUUUUUCUCUUCUUCGAGUAUGGCAGCCUCUCUAAGUGCGAUUUGUGCCUCGUUUUCCCUUCCCAAUGUGAAAAGAGAAGCAGCUUGCAGAUAUGAUGCAAUAUGCCAAACAGGAGAUAUCACUUGUGCUUGUACUGUAUCAUUGAGAGCUUCUCGUGGCAUAUCAUUCAUGAGAUAAGACAGACAACGACGAACAAACACAGUUGGUGAGGCCAUGGCUCCAACGUCAAUGAACUGCAAGAGCAAGCAAAGUAAUAGAUAACGAAAUAGUUCAACAAUAGAAUAGAUCCACAUUGCACAGUAGUGUGUAACAUAAGCAGUCAUGACAGGUUACCAGUUACGCCAAGGUUCCCCUUCGGAAAGGGGGAAGCCAGAUAGCUUAGGAAUAUACAUGCCGGUUUAGAAGAGGAUAGUGGAUUUCUAACCUGCGUAUAGCAUUCAAUGGCAGCACUAAAAUCUUUAUUUUUGAAAGCAACAUCACCCUUUUUCUUUGAGUUCAACGUUUCCAGCAUCUGAUCUGUCCACAUCUGAAAUGAAAGCUGCAAGCAAGAAAAAGAAGUGUGAUCAUCAUGAGAUUCUUAUAAAAUUGGGUUUCAAAGACAAACUGGAUAUGAUUACAAUACGAAUGAGCAAUAAGUUGAAACCCAUGAAUCACAUGCAUGACGCAGAACCGGACAAUAAGUGUUCACAUGGAAUAGGUUAUAGAUGUUCAAAAACAUGCAUAUACAAGACCAGAAAGAAAACAGAUUAUUCUUUCUUUCAUGCAGUGACAACUCCAAACGUCAUACAUCUGCGGCCUACCUACCACUUAAGUGGCACCAAUGAGAUCCAGUAAGAAAGCGUCGUGGCUCUUCCACUCCGCAUCAAUCUUAUAAACUGAAGACUCAUUUCAAUUUGUUUGUAUGAUUUUGAAAAAGUAUGAAGUUGUUAAAAGAGUCACUAAAAGGGGAAAGAGAAGUAUAUUUUGAAACAAACAAAAGAAGAAAGUAGACAAACAAAUUGAAACAAAGAAAUACUAAUCAUUAAGAGAAGAUUUUGAGUUCGAUCUUGAGGAUAAAAUCGCUCUUAGUAAAGAGCGUUAAGCCCCAAAGUGGAACUUCCCAGCACGAACUCUAAUGAGUAAUGAGUAAGGUUCCAAAGCAGAUACCUAACACAUUAUGCAACAAUAACAAACCUCGUGCAACCCCACAAGUAGAGUCUAGAGAGGGUAGUGGUGUGUACAGUCUUAAACAUUAUGGGAUACAAAAAGGCUACUUGGAUAACAUUUGUCUAGUCUAGUUAGUUUAUCCUCAAGUUUAGCUCUGCAAAGAUAAAUAAGCUAUAAGAUAUCAGAGCUUGCAAAUUAAAAGGGCUAUCUUCAAAAAGCAAAAAAGAUCUGUUCCACUAAUAAUACAAAAAGAAGUUGGAGAGAAAAAUUCCUUGCAGGUUUCAAAAAUUUAUCUUCACAGCAGUAAGAGAGUUGCAGCAACAAACCCAUCGAAGAAUUAUUGUUUCCUUCCUCUUCCUUUCUUAGGUGCUUGUGCCUCCAUCUGUUCUUUGCCACCCACUUCAGAUAUAUCAGCUGCAACGAAAAGAACUUGCAGAGCAUUACAUUGACUGGAGCAUCAGGGAGAUGCAACUAUGCAAGUAUCGAAUAAAACUUCUUAGGAAUCAAUACAAGCAAAGAUAGAAGCAUGUCUAACAAGGUACAUGCCGAGUAAUUAGUAAAGAUUAGAUUGUCAUUGGAUGUUACUUAUACCAAACAAACAAGGUACCAUGUGAAGAAAGUUUGAAAAAGUAAUACCGUCUGGACCACGAGACAUCAAGGUAAAAAAAAUGUUGUUAAGUUUCUCCAUCUUCUUGGCAUCUUGGGCUUGGUCAGUCUUAAACUUGAUACACUAGCAAGGAAUUAAAAAUACAAACCAUUAGAACAGGCAAUCAAUAUGGAAAAUUCUCUGACAUACUCCCAUCAAGCAUGGGAUACAGGAUACAUUAUAUACCAAAUGUCUAAAAAGGAACUAUAUAACAGAGCUACAGAAGUCCACAGUUAUGAGCUACCAAAUGCAUAAAAGGGAAAUAUUACAUAGAGGAGCAGCAAAUGUUCCUCUUUUCAUUCACGCGAAAACAACAAGAGAAACCAACAUUUGAUGCAAAGACUGAAUAACAACUAUAUUCAACACCGUGAAGAAAUAACAAUGUCUGUAGAGCUAAAGGUAGAGAAGGGAGGGCUCAACUGACGCCUCUUCGCUUGAAAAUUUUACUAUGCAAGUACGGUGGGUAGUGAAGUUAAGGACAAGAGGAGAAAAAAAGAAGAGUGAAACUCACUUGAGAUAACAUGUAUGGAUAUCACUGAUAUAAUAUCUAAUACAAAAACAAAUUAUAAAAUCAUCACGUUGUCCUUCAUUUAACCCGAAAACAUGCAAACACACGCUCUACAUAAUAGACAUUACUUGAAGGUCUGUUUACAAGAAAGAUGAUUACAUCACCAAACUCCACAGGGGAAAGGGCGUAUGGCAACACACGCCACCUAUUUCAACACUUUAUCACAUACCUAUCAGUGAUGCUGCUAUGAUUCCAUACCCUUUUUUGGGUUGGGUUGGGUUUUGGGGGAGGGGGCUGAAAGGUAGGAAUAGGAAGGGGCACUAAUUGACUCUUUCUAGUUUCAGCACAGAGGAAGUGGAAGGUGAUCGAUCGUAUUUUCUCCAUUCAAUGACCACUUCACUAUCAGAAUUAUACAAGCCAACUCAAACAUUUUGAAACCAAAAUAAAACACAAUUAUUUUAGGACUAUCCUCCAUUACUUUUCCAUGAGAGGUACUUGUAACUUUAGAAUAUGGGUACCAUCACAGUUUCUGGCAGAAUGUCCAGUCACCCAAGUAAACUGCAAAAGAGCUGAGGUAUGUUCUAAUGUUCAAACAUAGGAGAACCAAAAGAAAUAAGGUUCACCACAAGCUAGGUAAUAUGAGAAAAAUAAAAAUAUGUUGAGGGAAAAAGGACAAUGGAGAGGCCCCAGCGAUUUGAGAAAUGGCAAAGGUAGCACAAUGAGGGACGUGUAGCGCACGUCCCAAGUUUGAAUCCUGUUGUGGACCAAGUCUGGUAAAAGGACUGACUCAUUAUCCAUCUGAGUUUCGAAGAUGGAAACUACAAGAUUUCUUGGAUAUUUAAAAAACCAUAGGGAGAGCUGAACCAUAGAAAAUAUGAGAGAAAGGAAAAGCAUGGUAGGUACAGCAUCAAGGAUCUUAAAUGUGCCCUCUACUGAAGUUUAGGCAGACAUAUGAAGCCUAGAUGAGAUUCCACCAAAAUAUCUGGACAAUUCUAAAUUUGUGAUUAGAGAACAAAGAAAAUUGGCUAAGUCAUCGACUAUCCUAAGAAGCUUCACAAAAAGUAAGCUUAAAAGCCAUCCCCUAGUAAUCUCAAAGAGGCAAAAGAUGAUAAACAGGUCAUCUGAUAAAACAGAUCACCUUGUCUGUCUGUCUCUAUCCUUCGACUCCACACUUCCCCUUCCUUUCUCCCUACCUUAAAAGGCUAAACAUUUUCUUUUACUACUAAAUCUUUAACCCUCUUUGCCUUUUCACCAGAAGAAUCAACUUCAAGAACAUCCAAACAAAAGCAUGUACAUGAUAUAAGUUUUUAACUUUAAGAAAGAGAAAUAUUUGCUAUUGUAAUUAUAGCAGAAUGUGGUCCAACAAUGAUACUAUCCAUUUGAGAAACAACAAAAAAUAUCAUCUGGGUUACUAUAAUGUUUUGGCCCGCUCAGGUACAAGGAUUGCAGAUGACUCCACUUUUUAGACCAUAAAAGCUUUUCUCGAGAUGCUCUCUAAUUGUUGGCAUCAUUGCACCAAAGUCGUGUCUUCUUUAGGAGUUCAACUAGUUGGUUCCACAAUCCUUGGUCAUAAAGGAAAGAAAAGACUUCUUUUAAAAUCAAACAUAACCAGACAUCCUCUUAAUCAAUUCUUUCCAUGUACUUCUCAGCUAAGCAGUGUUCUCAUCUGAUUCUCACUUUAACUCUUCCCCGACAUUGAAUCUCUUUAGAGUUCUACCUUAUAAAUAUAACAGUUGUCGGAAUUCUAACAACUUAUACACCACAGGAGAAAUAGCAAUUAAGAAAAUGAACAUGAAAUGAGUGUAACAUGUGGUAAGGAGAAAAAGAAAAUAGUGCAUAUGAAAUACUAACAGACACAGAACAAGAAAUCUCUUACUCAUUACUUCACAUAUAAGCAAAAAAUAACACUAAGAUAUGACAUCAAGCAUGACUUGGAUAUCUACCAUCUCCCCUUAAAGAAUGUCAACUUCCACUAUGGAAUGCAAAAACACUCAUCUCAGCCCACUAAAAAAACUACUACAAUAUAGACCAAACACCUCAGCCAACCAGGUUUAAAGCUACCCUGCUUCCACAUAAAACAAGAACAACAACGACGCCUCAGUCCCUAGCAACAACAUUGCUUCAUUAAGCACAUCUUAGACCCAUAUUAUACAAAAAUAAUAGUGGUAUUAUUUAAUCACUCUCCUGAUAGAACAUGACAUUUAAAAACAUGUCAAUUUGAGCCACAUCAAGUUUAUGCAACCAAAAUAUUUAUCAGAGCCUCCCCAAAAUAUGAACAUCUUCCCUCAAUGAGUUUAUUGUAGCCACAAAACAAACAUAUUAUGCUUGAUCUAAUUGUUAUUACAUCAUCUGUAUCAAUAUGACAAAUAGCAUCGUCAGUUGACUCAAUUGCAUCGAUUACAUCCCAUAAAUAUAAAAUUAAGUUGAUUUUGAUCAUCAAAACUUAACAGAAGCUGGUCAGUUCUUCAUUAUGAAGAUUGUGAAUUGUACUGCCAAUCUCAUGUCGGAUUGCGGUUUUAUCACACACACACCAGUAGGAUUCAUCAGAGAACAACAACAAAAGGAACCCAAACAUUUGCACUAAAUUGCAAUGCAGAGAUAGAAAAGACUAACUGAACUCAACCAAAAAAGAUAGAAAUAAUAAAAGUUCAAUUCAGCAACCCAUGUAUACAAAAGUUUCAAUUGCAUCAAUUACAUCCCCAAAUAUGAAACAUGUUGAUUUCGAACUUCAAAACUUAAGAGAAGCUUAUCAUUACUUCUUUAUAGAACCUGUGAACAUCAUUGUACUAUCAAUUUCGUGUGAUUGUACCUUCCCCCCCCCCCCCCCACACACACACACACACACACCAGCAGGAUCCAAGAUAUAACAACAAUAAAAGAAACCCCAGCACUUGCACUAAAUGGUAAUGCAGAUAUAGAAAUAGCAGUAACAAAAACAAUCAAAACUCAACUUAGCAUCCAUGUAUGCACAAUCUACUAAUAAAAUCGCAAAACUGUAGCUAAAAAUCAUAAGAAACAUAAAAAAAAAAAGUUACCUCUUUAUCAUCAGUGACCUUGAGAACCAAUUUACCAUCAGAAUGUCUGUAUUUCAUCACAUAGCGAGUCUAUAAACCAAAAAAAAUACCAUCAAUACAUGAAUUUAUACGAAAAAAAACAAAUGAUGAACUCAUCGGAGUCAAACAACACUUACUUUCUCGGGAUCGGCGCGAAACAACUGUACGGAUCUCUCAACAAAAUCAUCCCAGGAAGUGAUAUACACCAUUCUUCUUCUCUCUGUAUCUGCUAUAUAUAAAUAUAUGUAUAUAUAACUGCUAAUCGAGCGUUCUCUCGGUGACUGUUGACGCCGGAGCUAAAUUCAGUGGCCGGCCGGCGAGGUUUUCAAUUUUUGCUCCUUAGGGGGUUUGAAAAGUCUUUUAUUG